rnacentral:rRNA from 1 species
UCCGUAGGUGAACCUGCGGAGGGAUACAUUAC